rnacentral:rRNA from 1 species
AACGAACGCUGGCGGCAGGCCUAACACAUGCAAGUCGAACGCGACCUUCGGGUCGAGUGGCGCACGGGUGAGUAACGCGUGGGAAUCUGCCCUGUGGUACGGAAUAACACCGGGAAACUGGUGCUAAUACCGUAUAUCCCCUGAGGGGGAAAGAUUUAUCGCCAUGGGAGGAGCCCGCGUAGGAUUAGCUAGUUGGUGGGGUAACGGCCUACCAAGGCGACGAUCCUUAGCUGGUCUGAGAGGAUGAUCAGCCACACUGGGACUGAGACACGGCCCA